rnacentral:lncRNA from 1 species
GAAUGAUGAUGUAAAGGGCCAUUCUGCUCCAUCAGGCAUCCCAGUCGAGCUUCAGCUGACGGAUCCAAGCUCUCUGGCAAGCCACAACAAGGGCCACUACCUUACUCCAUUCGCUGCAACAGAUUUCAUGCGGCUCCACCACUCUCUGACAAGCCACGAUAAGAACCGACGCCCUGCUCCACUCUCUGCAAUGGAUUCCAUGCAGCUCCACCACUCUCUGGCAAGUCACGACAACGGACACCACUCCACUCUCUGCAACAAGCUCCAUAUGGCCCUGAACGACCUCUGACGCCACUACUCUCCGUAACAAACUCCGCAUGGCUCUGAACGGCCCACUACCAGACGGUUACAGACGUCACUGUCAGUCAGUUACACUCUCUAUCUAUAAAUAAGGAUCCCCAGAUACGUUCUUUUCUAAGCUCAAAAACUCUAUCUCGAAACUCUGUCAAAAUUUUUUCUUGAGCACUCCAUUUCUUUUGAAGCAGAGUACUGACUUGAGCGUCGGA